GAUGAACGCUGGCGGCGUGCCUAACACAUGCAAGUCGAGCGAACGGACGAGAAGCUUGCUUCUCUGAUGUUAGCGGCGGACGGGUGAGUAACACGUGGAUAACCUACCUAUAAGACUGGGAUAACUUCGGGAAAGCGGAGCUCAUACCGGAUAAUAUUUUGCACCGCAUGGUUCAAAAGUGAAAGACGGUCUUGCUGUUACUUAUAGAUGGAUCCGCGCUGCUUUAGCUGGUUGGUAGGGUAACGGCUUACCAAGGCAACGAUGCAUAGCCGACGUGCAAGAGUGAUCGGCCGCACGAGAACUGGAACACGCACCAGAGGACUGCGGGAGGGCCCAGUAGCGUAUGGGCGGCAGAAGGCGGGAGCCUGGCGCAGCGGCGGAGCGCGAGUGGUGGAGACGUUCGGUGCGUGAAGCUCGCUUAUGGGUUGAAAACAUAUGUGUAAGUAGCUGAGCAGAUCGUGACGGUACCUGCUCAAGAAGCCACGGCUAACUACGUG
rnacentral:rRNA from 1 species